rnacentral:misc_RNA from 1 species
GUGAAUCAUCAAAUUUUUGAACGCAACUUGCACUUUUUGGUAUUCCAGAAAGUAUGCCUGUUUGAUGCCCAGUUAAAAAAAAAUCGGUGUUGUUGCUGCCUUUCGUUGUGACGCGUCGGAAUUAAUUUGACUUACUUUCGGUUAUGUGACUUAAAAUUUUUCAUGAUUUUAGUACUUAGUUAUAUUUAUUACUUACUUUAGGAAU